rnacentral:rRNA from 1 species
AUGCUCCCGAGCGACAUCGAAGGCAUGGGGGAGUGGACGCGCCGGCAGCUGCACAGCCACUCGUACCGGACGCCAGAGCAGUUCCGCACCGAGGCGGUGGUGGUGGUCGGGUGCGCGGAGAGCGGCAAGGACAUCGCGCUGGACCUCUGCCGCGUUGCCAGGGGGGUGCACCUCGCCGCCAACUCCGAGGCCACGGCCGCCAUGCCGGCCGUGUCGAGGAUGCUGGCCAACCACGGCGACGUGCUGCGCCUGCACACACGGAGGUAUCUAGCACUUGUCUUGGAUUUGUCUAGAUACGGAGGUAUCUAG